rnacentral:rRNA from 1 species
AGCGAACCUUAAAGGCGUAAUGAAGUGAAGGUCGGCCUUGCGCCAACCGAGGGAGGAUGGGCCGCGUCACGACGCGGCCCCGCACUCCCGGGGCGUCUCGUUCUCAUCGCGAGAAGAGGCGCACCCAGAGCGUACACGCUGGGACCCGAAAGAUGGUGAACUAUGCCUGGUCAGGACGAAGUCAGGGGAAACCCUGAUGGAGGUCCGAAGCGAUUCUGACGUGCAAAUCGAUCGUCGGAACUGGGUAUAGGGGCGAAAGACUAAUCGAACCAUCUAGUAGCUGGUUCCCUCCGAAGUUUCCCUCAGGAUAGCUGGCGCUCGCUUUUGCGAGUCUCAUCUGGUAAAGCGAAUGAUUAGAGGCAUUGGGGUCGAAACGGCCUCAACCUAUUCUCAAACUUUAAAUGGGUGAGAUCUCCGGCUUGCUUGAAUAGUGAAGCCGCGAGAUCGGAUCAGAGUGCCAAGUGGGCCAUUUUUGGUAAGCAGAACUGGCGCUGUNGNNNNANNCAAANUGGGACCCGUCUUGAAACACGGACCAAGGAGUCUAGCAUGUGCGCGAGUCAUUGGACUAGCGAAC